rnacentral:rRNA from 1 species
UGGGGAAUAUUGCACAAUGGGCGAAAGCCUGAUGCUGCGACGCCGCGUGAGUGAAGAAGUAUUUCGGUAUGUAAAGCUCUAUCAGCAGGGAAGAUAAUGACGGUACCUGACUAAGAAGCCCCGGCUAACUUCGUGCCAGCAGCCGCGGUAAUACGAAGGGGGCAAGCGUUGUUCGGAAUUACUGGGCGUAAAGCGCACGCAGGCGGCGUGACACGUCAGAAGUGAAAUCCCCGGGCUCAACCUGGGAACUGCUUUUGAAACGGUCAUGCUUGAAUCAUGGAGAGGGUAGCGGAAUUCCGAGUGUAGAGGUGAAAUGCUUAGAUAUCACGAAGAACUCCAAUUGCGAAGGCAGCUUACUAAGCUAUAACUGACAUUGAUGCUCGAAAGUGUGGGUAUCAAACA